CCUACGGGGUGCUGCAGUCGAGAAUAAUUCGCAAUGGACGAAAGUCUGACGAUGCGACGCCGCGUGAACGAUGAAGGCCUUCGGGUUGUAACGUUCUGUUGCCUUGGAACAAGAGUGAUUGUCGAAUAGAUAGUCACGAUGAGGGUACAAGGAGAGGAAGCACCGGCUAAUUCCGUGCCAGCAGCUGCGGUAAUACGGAAGGUGCAAGCGUUAGUCGGAAUUACUGGGCGUAAAGGGUGCGUAGGUGGUUACAUAAGUCGGGCGGGAAAUUCCGGGGCUUAACCUCGGAGCGGCAGUCGAUACUGUGUGACUAGAGGAAUGGCGGAGAAAAUGGAAUUCCAUAUGGAGCGGUGAAAUGCGUAGAUAUAUGGAAGAACACCUGUGGCGAAAGCGGUUUUCUAGCCUACUCCUGACGCUGAGGCACGAAAGCAAGGGGAGCAAACA
rnacentral:rRNA from 1 species